rnacentral:rRNA from 1 species
UACUAAGCGGAGGAAAAGAAACUAACAAGGAUUUCCUUAGUAGCGGCGAGCGAACAGGAAUUAGCCCAGCACCGAAUCCCGCGGUUCUGCCGCCGGGAAAUGUGGUGUUCGGGAGGGUCCAAUUUUCCCCGCGGUGUCGGACCGCGUCCAAGUCCAUCUUGAAUGGGGCCACUUACCCGUAGAGGGUGCCAGGCCCGUAGCGACCGGGACGCACCGUGGGAGGACCUCUCCUUA